rnacentral:tRNA from 1 species
CGUUUUUUGGCUUAGUUGGUUAAAGCGCUGGUCUAGCGCAUACGGAGUCGUGGGUUCAAAUCCCACCAGAACGC